rnacentral:lncRNA from 1 species
CGAGACUACAAGUUGAGCUGUUUGUUUCAAAAGGGGAAAUGAUAUAAAUAACAUUGCCUCUGUAAGUCAGGUGGAUGAUAGUAUCAAAACUGAACUUUUAUAGAGAUGGAAGUGUUCAGUGGAGUUCAGUUUCAAUUUUGAACAGUCUAAUGAAGUACAGACAGUCCAAUCACUUAGUAAUUUUUUGUUGUUUUAAAUGACGUGUGAAGUAGCAAUUACGCAACUUGUCAGCAUUACACCACAGUCAAACAUCUCAAUUCAUUUUUUUUUUUAACAUCCUCUUUUAGAUUUGCUGUCACUCCGUACUCAAAAACUACACAAUUUUCCACUGGGAUCACUUCUGUUUUAAAAACAAGGAACUAAAUGGUGUGUGCUUCAGUUAUCGUUCAGGCAGACAACAAUGAAGUAUGGGAGAAUCUAUUCUCUUACAGCAGUUGUAGUAGCAGAAUUCUAGGCUACAUGAUUAUCCACCUCUCUUACCUGUUAGAAUUGGUCUAUACGGCAGUCUGGUGAUUAGAC